rnacentral:lncRNA from 1 species
GGCCGUCUUCAUACCCGAUACAAUAGGAGGCGAACACACCUUCGAGGAUCUCCUCUUUGAAUUCUUUCAAAUUCUUGAUGUCCUCGAUUGCCCAGCUCAAGGCCUCCCUUGCUGACUCCGCUUCCACCUUCGCCAAUUUAACAUCGGCCCGUGUGGAAGACAACUCCUCUUCGGCCAGUGCCAACCUUUCCAGGCUGGCCCGAUGUCAUCCACGUUCAGCUUCAAGUUCAGCAAUACAUCCGUCUCUUUUCCGUCGAAGUCGGUGGAUGGAGUGUUUCUUGCUCUUGAUCUUUGAUUCAAGAGUCAAGAUGUUUUGACGAACCGACUUAAGCUCGGCUCCAGAAGACUGAAGGUCGUUAGACAAGCGAGAGACUUCCUCCUGAAGCUUCACCUCUCGCUCGACCGCCAUCUGAAGUUGUUCGAGGGCAGCCACCUUCUCAGCAUCGGCGGCCGCCACCUUAUUCAUCCAUACUUGACGAAAGUCGGUAACUUUUUCGUAGCCGGCCUCC